CUCCAUGUACUCAUGCAGAUACGAAACAAUAUUUGAGCAGUCCUAAUUAUUCUAACAUAAUUCCAUUAUUUUUUCAGGAUCUUAUUUAUUGCUUUGAAAACUGUGCAGUGAGGGCAAGGAUUGGGGAGAGCAGGCCCACUGGUACCCUGAAAUUUUCUACACUCAGUUAUGAUUGAGUAGAAGUUGUGAUACAUGAGGGAUUAUGGAAAUUCAAAUAAGAAGGAAGUUCCCUGUUCUACAGACCUUCCAAUCCCUGUGGAGGACAAAUGGAAACAAAAAAAUCCUUGAGAACAGGAGAUAUUUUGCAUAGCCUGAGAAAGAGUUUCUCAAAGAUCGUCCAGUAGCAAAAUACACACAAGUCUGUAAAAUAGCAAAAAUGUGUUUAUCAUCACUGGGAACUUACACAUGGCAAGUCUGAAAGGUACAGAGAGAGUAUCUUGGCAGAAAAAAAAACCUGAAUACAGUAAAACAUAAAGACAUAAAGAAAAUAUUUUUUCUUGCAAAAUAUUUUUCAC
rnacentral:lncRNA from 1 species